rnacentral:lncRNA from 1 species
ACUAUGAAUUUACUCUUUGUUACUGCCUUCAGGUUUCCAGAAUGUGAGUUCUCUUGUGCCCUUCCUUUUUCUGUGGUACUGGAAAUUAUGCCAGAUGGAAGAAGAUGCUUACAGAGGCAGCCACUGAACUUUGGAGGGCUCCUGCCAGGUGCCACAUGACGGAAAGGAGGGGGCAAGCUCCCAUUGCAAUAACAAAUGAUAAAAAAGGGGCUUUGAAGAGCUGUUUGACAAUUCAUCACAACUGUCAAAUACAAGAAGCAACAAUACAAAGAUCUUUAGGCUCACCAAGAGCAGUCCGACCAUGUGUCUGUCAGCUAGAAACACCUAAAACAUCACAAGUGGGGGAGGCAGCUAUGAAAGGACAAGAAACGCCAGCAUUUUAUUAA